rnacentral:lncRNA from 1 species
CUCAUUUUCUGUAACCUCAUAUUUCACAUUGUAUCACGUUAGGAUAUUGUGUGGGGAUAUCCCAACAAGUGCCUUUUGGGUUUGCACAUGUCCUUCCCAUCUCUUUUGCCCAAUCUGAGUCCGGUUGUGCCUCUGGGGCUCCUCCCAAUGGUUCAAGGGAUUUUAAACUUGAUCUACAUUUGAAGCUCUCAGCCUAUUUUCCAGAUCCUCUGAUACUCAAACAUUAUUCUUGCUCCCCUCUCAUCACCCAGCCUUCUCCAUCUCCUACACACUCUGAAAUAAUCUGUCAGAAGAUCCUCAUCCUGCCGUGCUGGCUUACUCUGGAUCAAGAGACAAAGACUCCAGCUCUAUCUCUGAUGGACCGAGUAGGAAGAAUCAGCAUGAGUCAACCCACCAGGUUUCCCAGAGCUUAAUCCAGAAGGGACCCAAACACUAGGGCCUCCCUCCAGUUACAUGUGACCAUGUGACUGAGCCAAUGAAAUAUGAGCAGAAGUGAUGAGUGUCACAACCAGACCAGAUCCAUAAAAAACUCCACCCUUGGCCCUCCAAGCUCUUCUCCCUGUUGACAGAUAAACUGGAGAUGUCCUCCUGAGCAACCUUGGAAACCACAUAUUGAAGAUGGUCUCUGAAUCACCCCUGGCCACCUGACUGGGAACACCAAAUAGGAUUGCUACAUGAGUGAAAAAUAAACAAUUUCUGGGCUGAGUCACUGAGACUUGUUUAUCUGUUCCAGCUGCUGGAGCUACCUUCACCAAUACAGGGGUAAUCAUAGUACCUUUUACUGGGAGGAUUAAGUGAGAUAAUGCUUACUCAACUGCCAGGUACACGGUAAGCACUCACCAUCAUCAACUUUUACUGUAGCAAGGAAGAGUUUACAGACCUG